AUACUUACCUGGCAGGGGAGAUACCAUGAUCACGAAGGUGGUUUUCCCAGGGCGAGGCUUAUCCAUUGCACUCCGGAUGUGCUGACCCCUGCGAUUUCCCCAAAUGUGGGAAACUCAACUGCAUAAUUUGUGGUAGUGGGGGACUGUGUUCGCGCUUUCCCCUG
rnacentral:snRNA from 1 species